GUUCGAAUCCCUCCUCGCCCA
rnacentral:tRNA from 1 species